AUUUUAAAUCUAGCCUAAAUAUAAAAUACUAAUUCCUAAUACACAAAACAUUAUUAUAUGAUAGU
rnacentral:rRNA from 1 species